UUUCUCUUCUCUCUGAUAUGAAUGCUAGCAUUUUGUUCUUCUCAUAUCUUCAUACCUCCAUUGUUAUGUAGCUUCUCAAUGCAUUUUUUUAUCAUAGUAUCAGAGCAAGAUAUCCUGCUUCACUCAAAAUAGCUUUAGAUUUUACUCUUUCUUCAUUCUUUCCUUCUUUUUUUCAUUCGUUUUUUCAAUAUUUUUUGCAUUGAAACAUGGCGAUUUCUGAGGUAGGUCCAACUUAAAAUCCAACAAGCAUCUUCUACCUUCAUCCUUCAGACCAUGCUGGCAUAAAACUCGUUUCAACACCUUUUGAUGGUUCAGGAUAUGCCGAUUAGAAGAGAUCUAUGAUAAUAGGUCUUAUUGCUAAAAAUAAGUUGUGUUUUGUUGAUGGUUCCGUUCCUAAACCUUCUUCUAAUUCAACUAAUUCAAAGUCUUGGGAGAGGUGUAAUAAUAUGGUCAUCGGAUGGAUUAUUGCUUCUCUUGAUAGAGUCAUUGCUAAGAGCAUCAUGUAUUAUAACAAUGCACAUGAAAUAUGGCAUGAUCUAGAGGAAAGGUUUUGCUAAUUCAUCUUCUGCAUAAUUAUACAGUUUGCAAGAAGAACUUGCAAAUCUCACACAAACCUCAACCAUGACAGUGGCUGAUUACUUCCCACGCGUGAAGUCUCUUUAGGAUGAGAUUGAUCAUUUGGAUCUUGUACCAAUCUGCACUUGUAAUGACUGCUCAUGUACUCUCACUAAAAAUUUCUUAAAGAGUCAACAGGAUCAAAGACUUAUUCACUUUUUUAUGAGACUUGAUGAUCAAUUUCAUCAAGCUAGAACAAAUAUUCUUAUAAUGAAGGAACUACCUACUAUACAGGUUGCUAAUAGAAUUUUGGUUCAGGAGGAAAGGCACAAAGAUAUAUUUAAACUUAUCUUUGCAGGUAGUGAGAAUAUGGCGUUUGUUGCUGAUAAAAGGAAGAGUCAUGAUCAAAACAGAAGCAAUGAAAGGAACCAUAAUUAUAAGAGAUAGAAUGGAGGAACCAAAAGAAACAACAACUAUUUUUGUGAUCACUGCAAGAUUCGAGGUCAUUCCAUUCAAUGAUGUUUCAAAAUACAUGGAUGUCCUGAUUCCAAAGGCAAGAAAAUCGCUGCUAAUGUUCAUGGUGAACUCUCUGACACCAGUACGAAUAUUGGUGGUACAGGAUUGACUUUAGAGCAAUUGAACAAUCUAAUGGCAUUACUUAACAACAAUGCAGCAGCAACGGAACACAAAGAAAAUGCUACUGAAGAUGAUUCUAAUCUCAUUACAUGUGGUAACCUAGCUGACUAGCAGGACCCUUCCAAGAAAGAGAACUCACCUCAUGGUAGAAUGAAGUAUGGACUCCAUUGCUUUGGAGUUUUCAAUAAAGUCGAUAAAGAACAAGUCACUAUCACAGCAAACCAUAGCUUUCUUAAUCACACUACUAUCCUUGCUAUGAUUAAAGAAAUUUAACUUUUACAUAAAAAACGUAUUUGCUGCUUAUCAUUUGCUGCGGUUUUUGCAUAUACGCAGCAAUAAAUAGGAAAAAGAAUAAGAAAAAAAAA